rnacentral:rRNA from 1 species
GACGGAGGAUGCAAGCGUUAUCCGGAAUGAUUGGGCGUAAAGCGUCUGCAGGUGGCAGUUCAAGUCUGCUGUCAAAGACCGGGGGCUUAACUUCGGAAAGGCAGUGGAAACUGAACAGCUAGAGUAUGGUAGGGGCAGAGGGAAUUCCUGGUGUAGCGGUGAAAUGCGUAGAGAUCAGGAAGAACAUCGGUGGCGAAGGCGCUCUGCUGGACCAUAACUGACACUCAGGGACGAAAAGCUAGGGGAGCGAAUGGG